GUCCAGACCUUUUAGCCCACCCAUACACUCCUCCAGCCCUCCUCCGAUAGCACCCUUAGCCCGGGCUGAAAGCACUUCUUCAAUAUCGUCAACUAACUCAUUGAGCGCAGCCACCACUCCCACAGUUGAGAAUGAACAGCCCUCCCUCGUUUGGUUUGACAGAGGAAAGUUUUAUUUGACUUUUGAAGGUUCCUCCAGGGGGCCCAGUCCUCUAACUAUGGGGGCCCAGGACACCCUCCCGGUUGCAGCAGCGUUCACAGAAACUGUCAAUGCCUACUUCAAAGGAGCAGAUCCAAGCAAAGAGAUAUAUGGCUCUUAACACUCUGUACCAAAGGGAAUCCUGACUCCAAACUGUUGACAAGAAUCAUUAAUCGACCCGGUACACCAAACCCUUGCACCAGACUACUGUCAAGUCAAGUGUAUCAUUAGUUUAAUUCUAGGCCUGAAUCCCAUCAAUAAACAAAAGGAAACCUAAGCAAUCG
rnacentral:lncRNA from 1 species